rnacentral:lncRNA from 1 species
GAGAGAGAGAGUUUUUCGGCUUCUCAUAAGGAGAAGAUAUUUGAGUUAGUUUUAGAGAGAGAGAGAGAAAGAGAGGAGGCUUUGGAAUCGGUUGACUCGGCCCAAGUUGUCCACAUUGCCCCCACAUUGGGUCCCAUGGUGCUUGAAUUCAUCAAGUGAAACCUUUGAACUAGGAAAGAAGCUCCUUUCUAGUUCCUUUGCUUCAACCAAUGCCUUUGACAAGCAUGAAGGGAAGGAACUC